rnacentral:tRNA from 1 species
GUAAAUAUAGCUUAAAUAAAGCAUUAGAUUGUGAAUCUAAAGAUAGAGAUUAGUACNCCUCUUAUCUACC